rnacentral:misc_RNA from 1 species
CAUCACCUCCAAAAGCCUUUGUAGCACUAUACCACUCAUCCACCAAAACUUUCCAUCCAUCUAUAAGAGUUCGUGCAAGGUGACAAAUCUGCUUUGAACCAUGCUUCCGGAGGCUAUUGACAGCCUUUNCCGAUCUCGGUUGCCUUAAGUGUAUCCACAGUCAGAGCCAUCAAUUGAAGCCUUCUUAACGAUUCAAACAACACAGAAUCAGACUCAUCUCUGCUGUUGAGAAGAAUGUCCUUGAUCCUCAAGACCUCACCAACUAUCUGAGACUCUUCUUCAAUCUCAUCAGUCAAGGCCUCAGCCUCUCCGUAACUAUAAUUACUCACCAAGUGAUCAUUCACAUUAACCUCCCCAUUAUCAAAAUCAUUAUCAUCCCUAUUACUACUAUUGACCUUGCUCUCCUUGCUCCCUCUACCCUCAAACUCACAUCCAUCAAUAUCAAUAUCUUCGUCAUCAUUAGCACCAUUACCACAACCACCAUCUCUUCUAUUGCANNNNNNNNNNNCCUUCAGGAGCGGGCACAGCCAGUUCAACCCGAUUGCAACCGGUGCACCGGGUCAAUCUGGAAGAAAACAAACGCUCAGCAAUUCGAUCUCUACGCAACCGGAACUCUUUGGGACAAUCUGAGGCUGCAACAAUGAUCGCAUGAUCGAUAAUACCAAAAAUAUCACAAUUUGCAGUACUAAAAUAGUUCCUCCAGUAAUCUAACGACAAGGGUUUCAUCAUGAUUUGACAACCCAGAUCGGUCGAGAUUCUCUUGUCGAUUAUGAGGUUUAAUUCAUAUGUGAAUAGGAAAAAUGAAUGUCAA